rnacentral:sRNA from 1 species
GUAUAAUACGACAAGUAGAAAAGUUAAGUUGGUAGCUAUUCCUAUAGCUAAAGAAGAGGUGGUGCUUAUGGUGUAAUAACCAUAUUGAAACCAGAUUCUAAAGAAAGGGGUAGUUGGGUGUCGAUUUCAGAUGCCCUACAACUGAUGCUGAUGUUUGGCACUUUUAUUGUGUCCUUAA